GAUGAGCGCUAGCUACAGGCUUAACACAUGCAAGUCGAGGGGAAACGACAUCGAAAGCUUGCUUCCGAUGGGCGUCGACCGGCGCACGGGUGAGUAACGCGUAUCCAACCUGCCCACCACUUGGGGAUAACCUUGCGAAAGUAAGACUAAUACCCAAUGAUAUCUCUAGAAGACAUCUGAAAGAGAUUAAAGAUUUAUCGGUGAUGGAUGGGGAUGCGCCUGAUUAGCUUGUUGGCGGGGUAACGGCCCACCAAGGCGACGAUCAGUAGGGGUUCUGAGAGGAAGGUCCCCCACAUUGGAACUGAGACACGGUCCAAACUCCUACGGGAGGCAGCAGUGAGGAAUAUUGGUCAAUGGACGAGAGUCUGAACCAGCCAAGUAGCGUGCAGGAAGACGGCCCUAUGGGUUGUAAACUGCUUUUAUAAGGGAAUAAAGUGAGUCUCGUGAGACUUUUUGCAUGUACCUUAUGAAUAAGGACCGGCUAAUUCCGUGCCAGCCGCCGCAGUAA
rnacentral:rRNA from 1 species